rnacentral:rRNA from 1 species
UACGAAGGGGGCUAGCGUUGUUCGGAAUUACUGGGCGUAAAGCGCGCGCAGGCGGCUAUCCAAGUCAGUGGUGAAAGCCCGGAGCUUAACUCCGGAACUGCCAUUGAAACUGUUUAGCUUGAGGACGAGAGAGGUGAGUGGAAUUCCCAGUGUAGAGGUGAAAAUUCGUAGAUAUUGGGAAGAACACCGGUGGCGAAGGCGACUCACUGGACACGUAUUGACGCUGAGGUGCGAAAGCGUGGGGAGCAAACAGG